UUAGGUUAUGGAAUGGUCUGUGGCUUAGACGUCGGGCUAAAGUCAAAUUUCUUAAUUAAAAAACCAGGUAUUUCACUUAAGCUUCAUUGGGACUGUAUCCAACACAUAAAUUUGCACCUGCCGAAUUAUAAAUUUACUUACUCGUCCACGCAAAAACAGUCACAAGUGCCACUGAGAGGAGUGAGGGCUGAGGCCACGCCUUCUUGGAGCAUCAGUGAUUCAGAGCUUCUGAACCCAUCCCAAAUUCAGACAACAGCACAGUCAAAAGGCAAGGCUCGCUUCAUGACUUACCAGCCAUUUGCUGAAUGCCACUGAAUGCACCCAGGUUGCUGGAGGAGGUGGCCUGCUGCAGAAGCUGCAAAAGAAAAGAGAAAGGUAAUGGUAGGUCUCCUCAGCUUAAGAAGAAGGAAACUCUACAACUGGAUGUGACUCAGAAAUGGGCAUCUAGCAAUUGACUUAAAAGCACCAAGUAGAGUGGAAUAUCGGUGGCUGACUCAACUUAAGUCUUAGUUACAAUGAUUAAUGUAAUCCCUAUGGGGAUUAACAUGAACAGCUGUGGGCCUUCCCUGGUGGCACAAUGGUUAAGAAUCCGCCUGCCAAUGCAGGGGGCACAGGUUUGAUCCCUGGUCUAGGAAGAUCCCACAUGCUGCGGAGCAACUAAGCCCGUGGCCACAACUACUGAGCCCACGUGCCACAACUGCUGAAGCCCAUGUGCUGCAACUACUGAAACCCACGCACCUAGAGCCUGUGCUCCACAACGAGAAGCCACCGCAAAUGAGAAGCCCGCGCACCGCAACGAAGAGUA